GCAGAGAGGGAGACAGCAUAUACACCUUUCAUUCCCCAAGCUGUUCUUCCUUCUAGUUACACAGCCAGUGAGGUAGAAGUUGCUGCAGAUAAUAGUAUGGAACAGCGAGCUCUCCUUGUGGAAUCAAGAAGGU